AAGAUAGCUCAAGCAGAAUGUGGCAGAAAGAUACUGGUAUUAAACCCAUUUUCAACUGUGUUAUGACUUAGCUAGCAAGCUACUUACCAGCAUGCCGGAAAAAACACACUGUGUUGUGACUGGAUGCCAGUGUUAAUUUAAAGUUAAACUAUUUUCCGAUGAACAAAGACAUCAGCCAGCACUGGCUUCUUUUCAUGUCGGGUGGACAGGCUGAGGCUGCACCUAAAAUGACCAAAAUGCAACGCGUGUAGUGCACAUUUCAAAUGAAGUUGCUUUAAAAAAAAAUUGGGGACAACAAUCGAUGGGUCUUGCCAGGAAGCUAAUCAUGAAGACAGAUGCUGUACCAUCAUGACAGUGGAUCUUGCAAGCGCUCAGAGUUGGAUGAGUCUGACACGGUUGGCAACAACGUUAGCUAAAGCAACUGUGGCUGCUUUAAUUUGUGAAAUGUAUUUGAGUGUGGGACAUUUGUUUUAUUGCUUUAUGGUUACAUUGGUUAUUAGCUAGCUGCCCCCCGGACAGUCACUAUAUGUGUUUUGUUCUUCCACCACGAAGCCCCCUGAGUGCCAGCCCACCAACAAAGGAGAUUGACACCCAAUAUCACCACCGAAAUCCAUGCAGGACAUUACAAAAUACAUUAUGUAUGAGGAUUGCCUGUUGGAACUCUUCCAAGACUGCCCCAUCUGCACAAGGGUGUGCCGUGGCACAAGGUUUGUGAGGGGGACAUUCUUGUCUGUGGAGCAGAAAUGUUCCUACAGCGACUGCUCAUUUACCACAGUGGAAGAGCAAGCCCCUCAUUGACAGCAUCCCAGAUGGAAACCUCCACCUCUCUGCUGACAUAUACACCUCACUGGGUCAUCUUUUAUCCAGUUAAAGAAGGCAAGUUAAAACACAUAUUGGGAUAUAUUCUGCUGUUCAAUUGCCAUUCCAAUUCAAAACUAUGUACUCAACCAUGAUGCCUUUACAAAUGCUGACAGCUCUGCAUGUGAGGACGAUUUGCCGCUCCAUAAACAUCUCUCACACCUAGGUGGAGCCUUCCAUAUAUUUCGUUUCUACAAUACUGAGCAGACCGAGCUGAUUCAAUCCAUGACACAGGGGGAGGGAUGAGUUGCCAUUGGAGGAGACAUGAGGACAGACUCCCCUGGUGAAACAACCCCAGAAUUGCCCUUCAAUCUUAUGGUGCUCCACAGUAGCUAACAAUGUUUCUCUCAACAAGUAGGUGCGUGUUUUUGUCACCACAGUAUAUCGUCUCUUUAGAAGAGUUUGGGUCAUGCUCCGUGAUGGACAUUGAAACUGUCAAGACUGUGGAUGUCCAGCAGGUGUUUUUCUUUUCACAAAUUGACUUGAAUUGAUCAAAUAAUUUAGCAAUGAUGUUGGUGGCAGUAGCCACAUGGAGAAGGAGGGACUGAAAAGGAGCCUUGAAUUCCUGCGAAGGUCGAAUGUGAGGGUCACAUCGAUGAUCACGGAUCGGCAUCCCCAUAUCCAGAAAUUCCUCAGAGAGUUGUGUGCUGGGAUCAUUCACUACUAUGAUUCCUGGCAUGUAGCAAAAUGUAAGAAGUCAUAUAAAAGCUAGAUUUAGCUAGACUGUUACAAUGGCAAUAACCAUUGUGGAAAGUGGAAGUAGUAGCCAAGGACAAGAAAUGUCUGAAGGUGAAGAAAUUGACGCAGAGCAUCACCAACCACCUCUACUGACCGGCGAGUACUGGACCAAGCGGUGAAGAGGGUGGACAGGUGGACAUUGCUUUUCAAUCACCUGUGUAACAGAUGUCGAUCGUACUCUCCUUGCGUUGUGUUUUGUCCAAAUACAUCACCCCAGCCAGUGGUCCCAGUUGAGCAUUAUUUAUUAUCUCCUGUUGUUAAAUAGGAAACAGCAUGUUCGUUGUGCGGGGCUGAGGAUGUUGAUGGCUGUCGAUGGUAAAAUCUGUAGCAUGAAAACAACUGUGUUAGCAGUGGGCUUAUGUGACCAGCAUGCUAGCUAAUACUUAUAUACAGCGGCAGGGCAGCCAAGUGGUUAGAGCGUUGGACUAGUAACCGGAAGCUUGCAAGUUCAAACCCCCGAGCUGACAAGGUACAAAUCUGUCGUUCUGCUCCUGAACAGGCAGUUAACCCACUGUUCCUAGGCCGUCAUUGAAAAUUAGAAUUUGUUCUUAACUGACUUGCCUAGUUAAAUAAAGGUAAAUUGUUAAAAAAUGUAAUAUACCAAAGCACAUCCCAGAAAGCCC
ensembl:lncRNA